rnacentral:rRNA from 1 species
UAAAGAUUCAUCGCUGAUAGAUAGGCAUGCGUUCCAUUAGGCAGUUGGCGGGGUAACGGCCCACCAAACCGACGAUGGAUAGGGGUUCUGAGAGGAAGGUCCCCCACAUUGGUACUGAGACACGGACCAAACUCCUACGGGAGGCAGCAGUGAGGAAUAUUGGUCAAUGGGCGUAAGCCUGAACCAGCCAAGUCGCGUGAGGGAUGAAGGUUCUAUGGAUCGUAAACCUCUUUUAUAAGGGAAUAAAGUGCGGGACGUGUCCCGUUUUGUAUGUACCUUAUGAAUAAGGAUCGGCUAACUCCGUGCCAGCAGCCGCGGUAAUACGGAGGAUCCGAGCGUUAUCCGGAUUUAUUGGGUUUAAAGGGUGCGUAGGCGGCCUUUUAAGUCAGCGGUGAAAGUCUGUGGCUCAACCAUAGAAUUGCCGUUGAAACUGGGAGGCUUGAGUAUGUUUGAGGCAGGCGGAAUGCGUGGUGUAGCGGUGAAAUGCUUAGAUAUCACGCAGAACCCCGAUUGCGAAGGCAGCCUGCCAAGCCAUGACUGACGCUGAUGCACGAAAGCGUGGGGAUCAAACAGGAUUAGAUACCCUGGUAGUCCACGCAGUAAACGAUGAUCACUAGCUGUUUGCGAUACA